AGGAUAUAUUCGGAACAUCUUCUUCAGAAGAUGCGGAAUAACGUGACAUAUUGUAUUCAGUUUUGAAUGUUUAUUUAACAUUCAAAUAUUUUUUGGUUAAAGCGAUAUUGCUUGUGAUAAUAAAGCAGUAUGCGAGCGCUUGACUAAAAAGAAAUUGUACAUUGAAAACUAGAUAAGUAAGUAAAAUAUAGAUUUUACCAAGCAAAACCGAGUGAAUAAAGAGUUUUAAANUAGAGAUAGAGCCUUCCCCUUCGGGGGACAAAGUGACAGGUGGUGCAUGGUUGUCGUCAGCUCGUGUCGUGAGAUGUUGGGUUAAGUCCCGCAACGAGCGCAACCCUUAAGCUUAGUUGCCAUCAUUAAGUUGGGCACUCUAAGUUGACUGCCGGUGACAAACCGGAGGAAGGUGGGGAUGACGUCAAAUCAUCAUGCCCCUUAUGAUUUGGGCUACACACGUGCUACAAUGGACAAUACAAAGGGCAGCGAAACCGCGAGGUCAAGCAAAUCCCAUAAAGUUGUUCUCAGUUCGGAUUGUAGUCUGCAACUCGACUACAUGAAGCUGGAAUCGCUAGUAAUCGUAGAUCAGCAUGCUACGGUGAAUACGUUCCCGGGUCUUGUACACACCGCCCGUCACACCACGAGAGUUUGUAACACCCGAAGCCGGUGGAGUAACCUUUUAGGAGCUAGCCGUCGAAGGUGGGACAAAUGAUUGGGGUGAAGUCGUAACAAGGUAGCCGUAUCGGAAGGUGCGGCUG
rnacentral:rRNA from 1 species